AACGCACAUUGCGCCCCUUGGUAUUCCGAGGGGCAUGCCUGUUCGAGCGUCAUAACACCCCCUCCAGCUGCCUUUGUGUGGUUGCGGUGUUGGGGCCCGUCGCGUUGCGGCAGCUCUUAAAGACAGUGGCGGUCCUGGCGUGGGCUCUACGCGUAGUAACUUGCUUCUCGCGACAGAGUGACGACAGUGGCUUGCCAAAAGCCCGUUUGUUCCAGUCACAUGGAUCACAGGUUGACCUCGAAUCAGGUAGGAAUACCCGCUGAACUUAA
rnacentral:misc_RNA from 1 species